GAUGAAGAACGCAGCGAAAUGCGAUACGUAAUGUGAAUUGCAGAAUUCAGUGAAUCAUCGAAUCUUUGAACGCAUAUUGCGCUCUCUGGUAUUCCGGAGAGCAUGCUUGUUUGAGUAUCAGUAAACACCUCAACUUCCAUAUCUUUUUUGAAACGGGAGUUGGACUUGAGUGAUCCCAACGCUUUUCCUCACCGAAAAGUGGCGGGUUACUUGAAAUGCAGGUGCAGCUGGACUUUUCUCUGAGCUAUAAGCAUAUCUAUUUAGUCUGCCUAAAAAACAGAUUAUUACCUUUGCUGCAGCUAACAUAAAGGAGAUUAGUUCUUGUGCUGACUGAUGCAGGAUUCACAAAGACAGCUUCGGCCGACUUUGUAAACUCGAUCUCAAAUCAAGUAAGACUACCCGCUGAACUUAAGCAUAUCAAUAAGCGGAGGA
rnacentral:misc_RNA from 1 species